GACGUAGGGCGCGAGCGUUGUCCGGAUUUAUUGGGCGUAAAGAGCUCGUAGGCGGUUUGUUGCGUCGGCUGUGAAAUCCCGAGGCUCAACCUCGGGUCUGCAGUCGAUACGAGCAAACUAGAGUACUGCAGGGGGAGACUGGAAUUCCUGGUGUAGCGGUGGAAUGCGCAGAUAUCAGGAGGAACACCAGUGGCGAAGGCGGGUCUCUGGGCAGUAACUGACGCUGAGGAGCGAAAGCGUGGGGAGCGAACAGG
rnacentral:rRNA from 1 species